GAGGAAGAGUUGCUGAAAAAAGCAGCCAAGGGGCCAUGUCAGAUUCUGCCCUUACAGGAAGCAGAGCUCCCGAGGCAGAGCUGGGAAAGGGGCAGAAAAAAGAAGGGAGUAGGAAGGAGCAGCCCUUGGGACACCAUGGUUCUGCUGGAACUGUUUGCUGGCACGGACACACACAUACACAAGUACAAGAAGAGAUGCUCCUUCACUUCCUGUCACCAUUUUGAGAAGGUCUGCACAGGAAAACAGAGUACCACCUGAACACAUCACAUCAUGGCAAAGGUUCAGCUCUGCAAGAGAAACAGGUCUGCCUAAUGUUUGUACUCAGUUUGCCAGGAUCCUAAAGCUAAAGCUAGAGAAGAAGUGUGAAAGAGUGAUGCAAAGGACCAGACGUCGCUGUAGCUUAUUAAGAGAAGCAUUAAAAAAAUUAUCACCCA